AAAGAGUGUAAUCGUAUUCACAUUAAUAGGUUUAUGCACAAUAUAUGGAAUGGAAUUAUUACACAUUCAUUUUGAAAAAUGAAAAAAAAGUACAGUACAGUGAUGCUUGUCACACUGCGAUUGAAUACAUGGGAGACCUCUAAAGCUGUGGAAUGGAAUUAGUGGCAGAUUUGCUUGUGUGACAGUCCCCUGCCCUUUCAAAGGCCCUGUCUGCACCUAGUGCUCCACAGAGCAAGGCUUUCUCACUGGCUUUGAAAAGGCUCUUUUUGGAUGUUUUUUUUUUUUUUUUUUUUUUUCUUUUUUUUUUUAUUUUUAUUAUUUUUUUCUUUUUUUUUUUAAUUUUUUUUUUUAAUUUUUUUUUUUUUAUUAUACUCUAAGUUUUAGGGUACAUGUGCACAUUGUGCAGGUUAGUUACAUAUGUAUACAUGUGCCAUGCUGGUGCGCUGCACCCACUAACGUGUCAUCUAGCAUUAGGUAUAUCUCCCAAUGCUAUCCCUCCCCCCUCCCCCGACCCCACCACAGUCCCUUUUUGGAUGUUUUGUGUGCUCUCUUUAUAAAAUCAUUUACAUUUUUUGUAGGUUGUUUGCAAGAAACAUUUAGUGAAACAUUUGAAAAUCCAUUUUAUUGGUUUGCUUUUCAAAUAUCUGUAGCCUUGUUUCUUAAGUAGAACCCCCGUCUUUUUCUUUGUCUUUUUCUCUUUGUUGAUGCAUCAUCAUCAGUUGUUCAGCUGUUUCUGCUCCCUCAUUUUUUCCCUUGUUCCAGUGAGACUCAAAGAACCAUGAACUUUUGUGCCCCUUUGUCUUCCCUUUCUUUUUUCUUUUUUAACAACUAAGGGGUAAUCACAGAACAACCAACCAUUGUAAAGUACAAUUGUAAAGUGGCAUUUAGUACAUUCAUGAUGUUGUACAACUACCCCUUCUGUUUCCAAAACAUUUUCAUCACCCACCAAGCAAUCUCUGUACCCAUUAAGCACUAGCGUGACAUCUUCACACUCCCAGCCUCUGGCAACCACCAAUUUGCUUUCUGUUUCUAUGGAUUUACCUAAAUAUUUCCUGUAAAUGUAGUCAUACAGUAUGUGAUCUUUUGUGUCUGGCCUCUUUCACUCGGCAUAAUGUUUUUGAAGUUCUUCCAUGUCGUAAAAUGUAUUGCUAAUUCAUUCCUUUCUGUGGUUCGAUAACAUUCCAUUGUUUGUAUAUAGCACAUUUUUGUUUAUUCUGAUGAUGGACACUUGGGUUGUUUCUACCUUUUGGGCGCUGUGCAUAGAGCUGCUGUCAACUUUCAUGUACAAGCAUCUGUUCUAGCACCUCAUAUUUUGCUCUGUUAAAACCUUGAAGGGUACCCUAUGUAAUAUUAGUUUUUCUAGGUACACAUGUACAUUUCUCUGUUUUUUGCCUUAACAAAAUAGAAGGAGAUUUGAUCUGGCAUUCCAAAAGACAUCAGUAAAGAGACAGGUAUCCAGUGAAUCUUACUUGAUGAACCCUUUUACUAAUGUGCUACCGAUGCUGUUAAAGAUUUGACCAACUUCAAGCAAACACGUCGAAUUUCCUAAGUGACACCAAGUCCAUCAGAGCAGCCUGGACAUAAUUGGGAAUGGUGCCUGCACUUUUAAGAGGCGAACGAGUGCAAUGACCAGUUGUAGAGAAGAGUUUAUGCAUGGCCUUCGGAGCUAAGCAGUGACCUGAAUUCAGUAUGUCACCAAAUUUGGUGUGCUUUCUCCUUUGCCUGCUGCUUCUUUCAAGUAGGACAUGGAGACAACAGCCAAAUUUGUGCUUCAGUGAUGUGACCUUCCCUUCCCAGGCAGGCAAAUAAAUUUAGUUUUGUUUCUGAUUAU
rnacentral:lncRNA from 1 species